UAGCCUACGGGGCGCAGCAGUGGGGAAUAUUGCACAAUGGGGGAAACCCUGAUGCAGCGACGCCGCGUGAGUGAAGAAGUAUUUCGGUAUGUAAAGCUCUAUCAGCAGGGAAGAAAAUGACGGUACCUGACUAAGAAGCCCCGGCUAACUACGUGCCAGCAGCCGCGGUAAUACGUAGGGGGCAAGCGUUAUCCGGAUUUACUGGGUGUAAAGGGAGCGUAGACGGAUUGAUAAGUUAGAGGUGAAAUGUCCGAGCUUAACUCGGGAACUGCCUCUAAUACUGUUGAUCUAGAGAGUAGAUGCGG
rnacentral:rRNA from 1 species